UAAAUACUCCCUUCGUCUGAAAAUACUUGUCAUCAAAAUGGAUAAAAAGAUGUAUCUGAAACUAAAAUACGUCUAGAUACAUUUCCUUUUAUCCAUUUUGAUGACAAGUAUUUCCGGACGGAGGGAGUAUUUG
rnacentral:pre_miRNA from 1 species